CCUGACCUUCAGUCCAGGGCUGAGUCAGCGGAGCCCCGAGUGGCUUCCCUGGCUGGCACCUGGACGUAGGCUAUUUCCGU
ensembl:miRNA